rnacentral:tRNA from 1 species
AAGCAUUGAAGUAACAUUUACAUUUAGUUUCGACCUAAACUUAGAAAUAGCUUUCCUUGCUUA